AUUGAACGCUGGCGGCAUGCUUUACACAUGCAAGUCGAACGGUAACAGGUUAAGCUGACGAGUGGCGAACGGGUGAGUAAUGCAUGGGAACGUGCCCGGUCGUGGGGGAUAACGCAGCGAAAGCUGCGCUAAUACCGCAUACGAUCUGAGGAUGAAAGCGGGGGACCGUACGGCCUCGCGCGAUCGGAGCGGCCGAUGUCAGAUUAGGUAGUUGGUGGGGUAGAGGCUCACCAAGCCAACGAUCUGUAGCUGGUCUGAGAGGACGACCAGCCACACUGGGACUGAGACACGGCCCAGACUCCUACGGGAGGCAGCAGUGGGGAAUUUUGGACAAUGGGCGAAAGCCUGAUCCAGCAAUGCCGCGUGCAGGAAGAAGGCCUUCGGGUUGUAAACUGCUUUUGUACGGAGCGAAAAGGUCUCCUCUAAUACAGGGGGCUCAUGACGGUACCGUAAGAAUAAGCACCGGCUAACUACGUGCCAGCAGCCGCCGUAA
rnacentral:rRNA from 1 species